UACAGAGGUGGCAAGCGUUGUUCGGAAUUACUGGGCGUAAAGGGCGCGUAGGCGGCCAACUAAGUCAGACGUGAAAUCCCUCGGCUUAACCGGGGAACUGCGUCUGAUACUGGAUGGCUGGAGGUUGGGAGAGGGAUGCGGAAUUCCAGGUGUAGCGGUGAAAUGCGUAGAUAUCUGGAGGAACACCGGUGGCGAAGGCGGCAUCCUGGACCAAUUCUGACGCUGAUGAGCGAAAGCCAGGGGAGCAAACGGG
rnacentral:rRNA from 1 species